CCUGCAGUUUGUUAAUGUACCCCUUGUGUUUAAGGUGCAUCUAGUGCAGUUAGUGAUGUAGCUUAGAAUCUACUGCCCUAAGUGCUCCUUCUGGCACAGGAUGUAAACUAAACUUGGUUGUAACA
rnacentral:precursor_RNA from 17 species